UAUGAGGUCAGUCCUUGAAGUAACAUCAAGAUUAGAAGAUGAAGUUCAUCGGGUAUUUGUUGGUCGUAAUGGCUUUCGUGUUUGCUAUCGUGGCUGGCAUGACAGAUAACCAGGCAGCUGGGUGUCAUGGCGGCGGUGGUGGCAGACCACCUCGGCCACCCCCACCAUCCACUACAAUGGCAACUACCACCACAGCUGCCACCAAUUCAUCGAGUGGAUAGACGUCAUUUAUCUAUAAAAUCGACGCGCACAACAAAUUGGCUAUUUUAUACAACCAUAAUAAAACAAUAAAAGAUAAUAAUCAAACAAAACUAAA